CCUACGGGAGGCAGCAGUGAGGAAUAUUGGUCAAUGGGCGCAAGCCUGAACCAGCCAAGCCGCGUGAAGGAUGACUGCCCUACGGGUUGUAAACUUCUUUUGUAAAGGAGUAAAGUCAGGUACGUGUGCCUGUUUGUAUGUACCUUAUGAAUAAGGAUCGGCUAACUCCGUGCCAGCAGCCGCGGUAAUACGGAGGAUCCAAGCGUUAUCCGGAUUUAUUGGGUUUAAAGGGAGCGUAGAUGGGUGGUUAAGUCAGUUGUGAAAGGUUGCGGCUCAACCGUAAAAUUGCAAUUGAUACUGGCAGUCUAGAGUACAGUUGAGGUAGGCGGAAUUCGUGGUGUAGCGGUGAAAUGCUUAGAUAUCACGAAGAACACCGAUUGCGAAGGCAGCUUACUAAACUGCUACUGACAUUGAGGCUCGAAAGUGUGGGGAGCAAACAGGAUUAGAUACCCCAGUAGUC
rnacentral:rRNA from 1 species